GACAGAGGGUGCAAACGUUGUUCGGAAUUACUGGGCGUAAAGCGCAUGUAGGCGGCUACGCAAGUCGGGCGUGAAAUCCCACGGCUCAACCGUGGAAGUGCACUCGAAACUGCGUAGCUAGAGUCCUGGAGAGGAAGGUGGAAUGCUUGGUGUAGAGGUGAAAUUCGUAGAUAUCAAGCGGAACACCGGUGGCGAAGGCGGCCUUCUGGACAGUGACUGACGCUGAGAUGCGAAAGCGUGGGGAGCAAACAGG
rnacentral:rRNA from 1 species